GACGGACGCUGGCGGCGUGCUUAACACAUGCCAGUCGAACGGAAAGGCCCUGCUUUUGUGGGGUGCUCGAGUGGCGAACGGGUGAGUAACACGUGAGUAACCUGCCCUUGACUUUGGGAUAACUUCAGGAAACUGGGGCUAAUACCGGAUAGGAGCUCCUGCUGCAUGGUGGGGGUUGGAAAGUUUCGGCGGUUGGGGAUGGACUCGCGGCUUAUCAGCUUGUUGGUGGGGUAGUGGCUUACCAAGGCUUUGACGGGUAGCCGGCCUGAGAGGGUGACCGGCCACAUUGGGACUGAGACACGGCCCAGACUCCUACGGGAGGCAGCAGUGGGGAAUAUUGCACAAUGGGCGGAAGCCUGAUGCAGCAACGCCGCGUGCGGGAUGACGGCCUUCGGGUUGUAAACCGCUUUCGCCUGUGACGAAGCGUGAGUGACGGUAAUGGGUAAAGAAGCACCGGCUAACUACGUG
rnacentral:rRNA from 1 species